UUCAACACGCACUGCUUCUAUUCCUCACACUUCCCUCUUCCUUUCUCUCUGCUAAUCCCACCAGAGGUAACAUGGAGAUCCCAAAUGGAGCAAAAGCCGUCUUGCCACGCAGAGGUUUACUCGCAGACGGUGUCGUCCCCUUUCCAAUUACAGCGGAGCCCGUCGGAGUUUUCUCUUGGUGAGGCCUUGGGAGUACUUACUGGAGAAGUCCAUGAGGUCAGAAGGCCGCCGAUACUCAAGGGUACCAGGAUGGAAAAGUCGGCGAGUUUCGGGCGAAGUACCGGAAUUUCGCCAGUACGGAUGUAUUUUUCGGCGCCGUUGCGCCAGUGACCUCAGCUCCGCUUUCAAAAAUCGGGCUAGUCACACACACACACAAAAUCUCUCUCUCUCUCUCUCUCACUUUACGCAGCUUUCCGGACACCUUGGUCCAGUGCCACGUCGAUGCAAUUUGACAUGUUAAUUUUUUUUAGUAAAUCAUUAUUUUUAUAUUAGGAGGAGAAGAAAUUAGGUUAAGCUACAUAAUGGACAAUCUAAUUUGGUAUCGAAUUCGUUAUUCACGAGAUUUGAACUUAAGACCUUUUACUUCUAAAGAAAGAGAAAUACCACUAAACCCUAGUACUUAAUAGCGACCUAAUAUGUGUGGUUUUAAUAUUUUGACCAAAACGUCGUCCGUAAAAAUGAAGCUUAAUACAUUAAUCAUUUUAAGAAGGUGAUGGUAGAUUGAUAAAUUAAUUAAUUUUUCUUGGGCAAUUAAUUCAUACUUAAUUCAAAACAUGUAUGGCAUUGGCAAGCCAGUAAAAUCAUCCUAGAGAUGUUUUCUUUUUUGAACAAUGUAUGAAUUUAUUUGAAGUACGUAUCAGUUCUAGUGUAUUUAGACGUUCAAAACUGACACGUGUAAGGAUAAUUUCUUACUUUAUAUUAUUAGUAUAUUGUUAGAAUUUAUAGACGACAUCAACGUAUAUAAAAAAAAAGUUAGGUGGAUAUGUGUUGUCCAUAAUCAACGUAGAUAAAAAAAGUUAGGUGGAUGUGUCUUAUCUUAUUUGCCUUAUACUAUUUUGUAAUCUUAAAUAGUUAUCCAUAAUUAAGUUAGUGUUUUAGUGGCUGGCUUUUUGAGACUACCAAAACCUCAUAGCAGCCAUUACAAUACAAGUAUAAAUGAAGUACAUCAAAUUUUGAGUUCUAGCUGCAAUCACAUGAUUCACAAAGUGCAUGUAUAUAUAUUCCAUAUAUGCAGGAUAUAAUGAAUGGUUUUUCAAGCAUUGGUGAACUGACAGAAACCCUAGUCUGCACUCAAAAUCUCACUCCAAAAAACUCCUGCAUCUCAGCAACCAUGGAUUCCCAGUCAUCGAUUUGUGUUGGCAAUCCAAUAUCGGCUGCUAAACCAAUUGGCAGAGAUAACCAAGCAAGAGGAGCCUACAGUGGUUCCGGAGAACAAUCGGAUGAGGAUGGUUUCGAGAUAGAAGUUGGUCCGUGUGGAGACAGUACAGACUCCCUCUAUAUAAAACGCUUUAGAAGGUAUCCCAUAUAGGAAAUGAUUCAGGCCAUGGUGCAUCAACAUGGGAAACCCAGCAUGUUUAAGGAACGAGAAAAAACUGUUGUGUCGUAGGGGUAUAUCUCUUGUAUCUAGUACACUGAAUUAGGUGAGUGAGUUGAGUCGAGUGUUGUAGACACAGUGGGAUAUUGUUGGGCAUUUUCUCAAGUAAAGUAAUCAAGGGUCCUCAUGUCCUCAAAUGUUA